rnacentral:rRNA from 1 species
AGGACGAACGCUGGCGGCGUGCCUAACACAUGCAAGUGGAGCGGCGAACCAGGCUUCGGCCUGGGGCAAAGCCGCGAACGGGUGAGUAACACGUGGGUAACCUGCCCCGAUGAUUGGGACAACCCGAGGAAACUCGGGCUAAUACCGAAUGUGCCCUACGGCCAUAAGGCCGCUGGGGAAAGGAAGCUUCGGCCUCCGCAUCGGGAUGGGCCCGCGGCCCAUUAGCUUGUUGGUGAGGUAACGGCUCACCAAGGCGACGAUGGGUAGCUGGUCUGAGAGGACGAUCAGCCACACUGGGACUGAGACACGGCCCAGACUCCUACGGGAGGCAGCAGUGGGGAAUCUUGCGCAAUGCGCGAAAGCGUGACGCAGCAACGCCGCGUGGGGGAAGAAGGCCUUCGGGUUGUAACCCCUUUCAGUUGGGACGAAGCUUCGCCGGUGAAUAGCCGGUUGGAGUGACGGUACCUUCAGAAGAAGCCCCGGCUAACUACGCGCCAGCAGCCGCGGU